rnacentral:rRNA from 1 species
AUAAUAGUUUGGAAACUGGCUCAGAUUGAACGCUGGCUGCUAGGCCUAACACAUGCAAGUCGAGCGGUAGCAGGGAACAGCUUGCUUUUUCGCUGACGAGCGGCGGACGGGUGAGUAAUGUCUGGGAAACUGCCUGAUGGAGGGGGAUAACUACUGGAAACGGUAGCUAAUACCGCAUAACGUCUUCGGACCAAAGUGGGGGACCUUCGGGCCUCAUGCCAUCAGAUGUGCCCAGAUGGGAUUAGCUAGUAGGUGGGGUAACGGCUCACCUAGGCGACGAUCCCUAGCUGGUCUGAGAGGAUGACCAGCCACACUGGAACUGAGACACGGUCCAGACUCCUACGGGAGGCAGCAGUGGGGAAUAUUGCACAAUGGGCGCAAGCCUGAUGCAGCCAUGCCGCGUGUAUGAAGAAGGCCUUCGGGUUGUAAAGUACUUUCAGCGGGGAGGAAGGUGUUGUGGUUAAUAACCAGAGCAAUUGACGUUACCCGCAGAAGAAGCACCGGCUAACUCCGUGCCAGCAGCCGCGGUAAUACGGAGGGUGCAAGCGUUAAUCGGAAUUACUGGGCGUAAAGCGCACGCAGGCGGUCUGUCAAGUCGGAUGUGAAAUCCCCGGGCUCAACCUGGGAACUGCAUCCGAAAUCUGGCAGGCUUGAGUCUGAGAGGGGAUCCACCAUUUUUUUUU